UACUGAUCACCAGGUGAUAUUAAUGAGGGCAGGGGAGCCCAGUCUUAGUUGGAAGGUGAGGAGAGCACACGGUUCUCAGCAUACAUAUGCAGACAAGCUGAAUCUACAAAAACUGGACCAUGUGAGUCCAGUAAGUAUCUUCCCUGCAAUAAAUGGGAACAUCACCCAAAAAGCGAUGGAGUGGCGACCCGUCCAGGGUGAACCUGCUGGGUGGCACUUUCAGCUAUGACUCAACCACCAGAGAUAAAUGCACACCCAGCCAUCAUAAACUGUUACAACUGUGAAUGAACUCACACCUUACUGUGUGAGUGAAGAAAACAGGUUCAACCUCUGGAAACAGACAUGGUAAAUCAGGUCAUCCAACUUAGCAUGUGCCACGCCACGAGGGGAAGCUGUGGUUGAUAAGAGUCCACCAGGAAAUGAACGAUGAUUGGCCACCCUGGUUGCAUCAAGAGAAUCCUUGAUCAAUGAGUGGCUUUGUCAUGUUACAACUAUUUGACUCAUGAUGAAACAGCCUGCUGUUUUCCUUUGUACUCUACAGUCAUGACUGUGGACUCUUCAUGAGUCCUCCUGGAUUUAAUAAAAUAGAGAUGGCGAGUAGAAGAAGAA